GAUAAACGAAUUUAUGCGUUUUUUUUAAGAAUUUUUGACUCUUCGUCUUAUUUGAAAAAGUUUUAUGAUUAAAAUUUUUAUUGUUAAUACAUGAUAAAACAUAAAUAGUACUUUAUGUGUGACUAAUUUUUUUUAAUUUUUUAAUAAAUUUUUCAAAUAAGACAAAUGGUCAAACGUUCAGGCUAAAAAACCCAG
rnacentral:pre_miRNA from 1 species